CUCUGUGACUCCUACGGGAGGCAGCAGUGGGGGAAUAUUGCACAAGUGGGCGCAAGCCUGAUGCAGCCAUGCCGCGUGUAUGAAGAAGGCCUUCGGGUUGUAAAGUACUUUCAGCAGUGAGGAAGGUAGUGUAGUUAACACCUGCACUAUUUGACGUUACCUACAGAAGAAGCACCGGCUAACUCCGUGCCAGCAGCCGCGGUAAUACGGAGGGUGCGAGCGUUAAUCGGAAUUACUGGGCGUAAAGCGCAUGCAGGCGGCCUGUUAAGUCAGAUGUGAAAGCCCCGGGGCUUAACCUCGGAAUUGCAUUUGAAACUGGCAGGCUAGAGUCUUGUAGAGGGGGUAGAAUUUCAGGUGUAGCGGUGAAAUGCGUAGAGAUCUGAAGGAAUACCAGUGGCGAAGGCGGCCCCCUGGACAAAGACUGACGCUCAGAUGCGAAAGCGUGGGGAGCAAACAGGAUUAGAUACCCUGGUAG
rnacentral:rRNA from 1 species